AAAGGUUGGAGUUCGAUCGAAGUGUAUGGCUUCUAACUUCGUGGAGGGUUACGUUGGCGGCCGACAACGUAACAUCGGGAGUUAGUGGUUGGGACACUUCUCUACUUUCGCAUGAUUUGGGAUUUUGGUUUUUGAGUAGGGUUGCGAUAGUGUGGGUUAUGUUAACUUGCGCUUUUAUGAUGUUGUAGUGACGAUGCCGA
rnacentral:lncRNA from 1 species